rnacentral:rRNA from 1 species
UACGUAGGGUGCAAGCGUUGUCCGGAAUUACUGGGUGUAAAGGGAGUGUAGGCGGGAUAGCAAGUCAGAUGUGAAAACUAUGGGCUCAACCCAUAGACUGCAUUUGAAACUGCUGUUCUUGAGUGAAGUAGAGGUUGGCGGAAUUCCUAGUGUAGCGGUGAAAUGCGUAGAUAUUAGGAGGAACAUCAGUGGCGAAGGCGGCCAACUGGGCUUUUACUGACGCUGAGGCUCGAAAGCGUGGGGAGCAAACAGG